CGRAAACGAACGCUAAUACCGCAUACGUCCUACGGGAGAAAGCAGGGGACCUUCGGGCCUUGCGCUAUCCCAUGAGCCUAGGUCCGAUUAGCUAGUUGGUGAGGUAAUGGCUCACCAAGGCGACGAUCCGUAACUGGUCUGAGAGGAUGAUCAGUCACACUGGAACUGAGACACGGUCCAGACUCCUACGGGAGGCAGCAGUGGGGAAUAUUGGACAAUGGGCGAAAGCCUGAUCCAGCCAUGCCGCGUGUGUGAAGAAGGUCUUCGGAUUGUAAAGCACUUUAAGUUGGGAGGAAGGGCAUUAACCUAAU
rnacentral:rRNA from 1 species